CACGCACAUCAUCCAGCACUUACACGCACAUCAUCCACCACUCACACGCACAUCAUCCAGCACUCACACACACAUCAUCCAGCACUCACACACACAUCAUCCAGCACACACACACAUAUAAUCCAGGACACACACACACACACCAUCCAGCACUCACACACACACACACAUCAUCCAGCACUCACACACACACAUCAUCCAGCGCACUCACACACACAUCAUCCAGCACUCACACACACACAUCAUCCAGCACUCACACACACACAUCAUCCUGCACUCACACACACAUCAUCCUGCACUCACACACACAUCAUCCUGCACUCACACACACAUCAUCCUGCACUCACACACACUGCAUUCAUUAUACACACUCUUCACUCACUACAAACACACUACAUUCACUAUACACUCACUACAAACACACUACAUUCACUAUACACUCACUACAAACACACUACAUUCACUAUACACCCUCUGCAUUCACUAUACACACUCUGCAUUCAUUAUACACAUUCUGCACUCACUACACACUAC